rnacentral:rRNA from 1 species
ACUGUUGUUUAAGUCCAAAGAAGGCUUCUGUUUACAUGCUUUUGCUGAAGGAUGAGUCCGCGUACCAUUAGCUAAGUUGGUAGGGUAAUGGCCUACCAAGGCGACGAUGGUUAGCUGGCCUGAGAGGAUGAUCAGCCACACUGGAACUGAGACACGGUCCAGACUCCUACGGGAGGUCAGCAGUGAGGAAUAUUGCGCAAUGGGGGCAACCCUGACGCAGCAACGCCGCGUGAGUGAGGAAGGUUUUCGGACCGUAAAGCUCUGUCGAGCGGGAAGAAAUGCAUGGUGGCUAAUAUCCAUCAUGCUUGACGGUACCGCUAAAGGAAGCACCGGCUAACUCCGUG